rnacentral:rRNA from 1 species
CAGUAGCCGCGGUAAUACGUAGGGUGCAAGCGUUAAUCGGAAUUACUGGGCGUAAAGCGUGCGCAGGCGGUUUGUUAAGACAGAUGUGAAAUCCCCGGGCUCAACCUGGGAACUGCAUUUGUGACUGGCAAGCUAGAGUGUGGCAGAGGGGGGUGGAAUUCCGCGUGUAGCAGUGAAAUGCGUAGAUAUGCGGAGGAACACCGAUGGCGAAGGCAGCCCCCUGGGCCAACACUGACGCUCAUGCACGAAAGCGUGGGGAGCAAACAGGAUUAGAGACCCCCGUAGUCCCUGUCUCUUAUAC